UACGUAGGUGGCAAGCGUUGUCCGGAUUUAUUGGGUUUAAAGGGUGCGUAGGCGGUUUUUUAAGUCAGUGGUGAAAUACGGCAGCUCAACUGUCGAGGUGCCAUUGAUACUGGGAAACUUGAGUACUGAUGAGGUAGGCGGAAUGGACGGUGUAGCGGUGAAAUGCUUAGAUAUCGUCCGGAACACCGAUAGCGAAGGCAGCUUACUAAGGAGUAACUGACGCUGAGGCACGAAAGUGUGGGGAUCAAACAGG
rnacentral:rRNA from 1 species